GACGAACCGUGCGAACGUUAUUCGGAAUCAUUGGGCUUAAAGGGCGCGUAGGCGGCGGUGUAAGUUGGAAGUGAAAUCCCAUCGGCUCAACCGUGGAAUUGCUCCCAGUACUGCAUCGCUCGAGGGGGAUAGGGGUCUGCGGAACUACCGGGUGGAGCGGUGAAAUGUGUUGAUAUCGGUGGGAACGCCAGUGGCGAAAGCGGACAGCUGGAC
rnacentral:rRNA from 1 species